UACGUAGGGGGCGAGCGUUAUCCGGAAUUACUGGGUGUAAAGGGUGCGUAGGCGGCUAUGCAAGUCAGAUGUGAAAACUCAGGGCUCAACUUUGAGGCUGCAUCUGAAACUGCGUAGCUAGAGUGUGGGAGAGGAAAGUGGAAUUCCGAGUGUAGCGGUGAAAUGCGUAGAGAUUCGGAGGAACACCAGUAGCGAAGGCGGCUUUCUGGACCAUAACUGACGCUGAGGCACGAAAGCGUGGGGAGCAAAC
rnacentral:rRNA from 1 species